ACCCAUCAGAGGGGGAUAACACUUGGAAACAGGUGCUAAUACCGCAUAACAGUUUAUGCCGCAUGGCAUAAGAGUGAAAGGCGCUUUCGGGUGUCGCUGAUGGAUGGACCCGCGGUGCAUUAGCUAGUUGGUGAGGUAACGGCUCACCAAGGCCNCGAUGCAUAGCCGACCUGAGAGGGUGAUCGGCCACACUGGGACUGAGACACGGCCCAGACUCCUACGGGAGGCAGCAGUAGGGAAUCUUCGGCAAUGGACGAAAGUCUGACCGAGCAACGCCGCGU
rnacentral:rRNA from 1 species